rnacentral:lncRNA from 1 species
UCUUUUUCUUUGGGUUUUUCCUUUUCCUUUUGUUUUUAUUUUUGUUUCUCUUUCCUCUAGCUUUGGAUAUUUAAGAAUAUAUUUUGAUCUUCAUAACUUUAAAGUUCAUUGCUUUAAUUGAAAACACUAGCUUUAGGGGAGUAGUGUCAGAUUUAUCACCAUCGAAUCCAUCUUAAAUUUUAUUUAAAAGCAAUAUAUG